UACGAAGGGGGGCUAGCGUUGCUCGGAUUGACUGGGCGUAAAGGGCGCGUAGGCGGUUUGCACAGUCAGACGUGAAAUUCCUGGGCUUAACCUGGGGGCUGCGUUUGAUACGUGCAGGCUUGAGUUCGGAAGAGGGUCGUGGAAUUCCCAGUGUAGAGGUGAAAUUCGUAGAUAUUGGGGAAGAACACCGGUGGCGAAGGCGGCGACCUGGUCCGAUACUGACGUGAGGCCGCGAAAGCGUGGGGAGCAAACAGG
rnacentral:rRNA from 1 species